ensembl:lncRNA
UGCCCGGGCAUCUGGUUAGGUCUCCAACUGCUAAAGAGUGUAAAGAGUGUUGAUGACUCCUGUAUUACUCAUGGUUCUUGGUUAUGAGAGCCGAAAGUACCAUUCCAACUGAUGCAAGCAAAUCUAGGGGGCAAGGAAAGGAGCAGGAAGGAGGAAGAGGAGAAGAGAAGGAGGGAAAAUUAAAUGAAGCUAUUACUGAUGUGGGAGGAAUAGCUUCCUGUAACAGGAGACUGUGGCUUCCUAUAACAGGAGACUAUCACAGUUACCAGCAGGUAUGUGAACAGUGGCCCACUGCAGAGUUGGGAACAGAAAUGAAUCAAAUUUCCUCAUUUCCUAUUAUUCUGGAGCAGUGCUUCUCAAAAUGUAACGUGCAUAUGAAUCACCUGAAGAUGUUAUUGUUGAAAUGCAGUAGAUCUGGGGUAGGGCCUGAGUUUGCAUUUCCAACAAGGCCCCAGAUGAUGCCAGAGCUGCUGCUCCUCCAAGCACACUUUGAGUACACUCAGACAAUGACCACUGAACAAGGGAAGGCAGCCAACUCCGGAUACAAGUAGGGGAAGCAGCAUGUUGGGUACCUAAUAUUUAUCCAUUGUUGUAUGGUGAGAUAAUUAUGGUUCUUUGAUCUCAAAAAGCCCGUCAUUAUCUUAAAAAAAGGCUAAAUUAAUGAUGCCUCUAAGAUAUUACUAUAGAUUGUUAUUUGGAGCAGGGACUCAUUUGACUAUUUUCUUUGAGAUUUAGUCUCUCAAAGUAGACAAAAAUUUCUCUAACUAGUUGCUGGCAGUGUUUACUAAUCAUUGCAUUAACAGAGGCAACAAUGGUCAGAAAUUAUUACUGGGAUAUUGAAACCACCUUGCAAACAUUGUGACACUGAGAGAAGUCUAGCAUGGCUGACUCCAUCUUGCUUCUAGCCUCAUAGGCUGGCUGUCCUCACUCAUUCCUGGGCAUAGGCCCAUCAGACCAUGGGAGGAAUUUAGUUUAGUUUAACUUGGAAGCAAAGUACCUCCCUAAAGUUGACCCCCUCCCUGUUCAGGGACUGAAACCACAUUUGUAAGACUAAUAAAAAAUCACAAGAUUAAGAUGAUGGGAGGAGCCCAAAUUCUGCUACAAUAUAGGCAUAGUUAAAUGCUAACCAACCAUUAUUCCCUGGCUUGCUUUUCUAGAAUCCCUUACUGCUCAGGAGUCAUAAAGCUGGAGGUCACAAGAUUUGUAACUUUCCCAAGUGCUCCUAUAGAUGACAUCACUAUUGUCAAACCUAAGAUUGGUCUUUGAGAUAUUUUUUAGACUUUUGCAUUCUGAUGACCAACUGACUCCACCUGGACUCAUACGAAGGAACUGACUCAACUGGUGACUCCCACCCAGAAACUGACUCAGCACGCCAAAACCAUUUGGGCACUCCUAUGAUUUCAUUCCCAGCCAAUCUGGAGCAUCCAUUCCCUACCCCCUGCCCACCAAAUUAUACUUACAAACUGUAGCCUCCAGGCUCUCAGGGAGGCGGAUUUGAGAAUUAAUCUCCUGGGGCGCGUGGUCGCUGUAUCCAGCACUUGGGGCCGGGCGGAUCCAGUCAGGAGAUCGAGACCACAGUGAAACCCAUCUCUACUAAAAUACAAAAAUUAGCCGGGCGGUGGCGGGCCUGUAGUCCAGCUACUCAGGAGCUGAGCAGGAGAAUGGGGAACCGGAGCGGAGCUUGCAGUGGCGAGAUCGCGCCACUGCACUCCAGCCUGGGCAACAGCGUGAGACUCCGCCUCAAAAAAAAAAAAAAAAAAGAGAAUUAAUCUCCUGUUGUUCUGCUUGGCUGGCCCUAUGAUAAUCAAACUUUUUCUCUGCUGCAAUACCACUGUCUCAGUGAAUUGGCUUUAUAUGUGAAGUGGGUUACGAUAUUUGUAAUUCCUAAUAAAAACUACAAGAAGGUUAGAAUUUUCUGGGAUGAGCCAAAUUAAGAAAAAAGAAAAAAAGAAAUUCCAAAUUAUAGGGAUUAUCAGACAACAUUAGCAGAGAUUUUCAUCAUGUUACUAUUAUCCUAAAAACAUCACCUGGAUUGCAGCCUUGUGAAGGCAUGAGAAGAGAACCCAGUGAAACUGUGCCUGGACUUCUGGCCUAUAGUGACUGUGAGAUAAUAAAAUGGGUGUUUUUCUAAGUCAUUAAAUUUGUGGUAAUUUGUUGCAAAACAAUUCUAUGAAGCAAUAGAAAGCUACUAUAUUUACUGAACUUUUUUUCCUACCAAUUCUAAUCUGUUAAGCCUACUGAAUGAAUUUUUAAUUUCGACUGUUGUACUUUUUUAUUCUAUAAUUUUUCUUUAGUUCUUUAUUAUAGUUUCCAUUUCUCUGAUUAUUCAUUAAAAUCAUAUUUUCUUUAAGUCCUUGGUAUGUUUAUGUUUAUAACAGCUUUUUAAAAGUGUGUAUUUGUUAAAUCCAAUGUCUGAGCUAUCUCAGCAUCUGUUCGACUUUCUUUUCUUAGCUCUUGCUCUUCUUUGCAUGUCUGUUAAUUUUUUUUAUUGUUUAGUAGACAUUGUUGGUGAUACAUUUUAUAGAUUCUGAAUUUCAAUAUGUCAUUCUCUAAAUAAUGUUAAGCUACGCUUUUAAGCUGUUAAUGAUGGUUGAUCACUUUCAAGUUGCAUGGGCUUCCUCAGGGAAAAUCUGUGGAAGCCCCAAGAUAUUUACUAAGCUCACAGAAAUCAAAUUCCAAUCUCUGUUUACCCAGUAGAUUUUGACAAGGCUUUGUUUUAGAGGCUUUUUUUUUUAGAGUGAUCUAGAAUAGGCCUUGCUCCAGGACAUAAUCCUCAUCCCUAAGGCAUGGCCUUUAUAAAUUCCUGGGAUAUUAAUGAGGUCACUCUACUCUGGCUGGAACUCAGUUUCAAUGUCUGUCAGCACUGUUCGAUUUCUCAUAUUGUUCCAAACUCAACUGUACAGCAGCAACUCUCUGGUAAGACUCCCAAAGGUUCAGUCUGUGCCUGUACAACCCAGUCCUCAGAUAAAAACACAGAGAUCCCACAAACACAUACCUGCACCCCCCAUUUUGCACAGAUGCCUCCUUCCCCAUUCCCAGGCCUACCAAUUCCAGGCAUCUUGGCAGCCCAAACUCUGAUCUCUGCCUCCUUAGCUCAAAAAGACCACUCAUCUUGGCAAAGGCUCCACCUCCCUAUGCCAUAGCCUGGAAAUCACCCCCAGACAGAGAUUCUAGAUGAAUACAGAGCUUAUCUUAUGAGUUUUUCUUAUUUCAGUGAUCACAGUCUUCUACCUGUUACCCAAUUUAUAAAACUGUUGCCUCAUAUGAUUUUAUUGUUUUCAUUCAGCAAGAGGCCUAGUCUGGUACUAGGUACUCAGACAUGGCUAGAAGCAGA